UGGCCCCUCGUCCAAUGGCAGGACGCCGGACUUUGGCUCCGGAAAUGAUGGUUCGAGUCCAUCGGGGCCAA
rnacentral:tRNA from 1 species